UGAACGCUGGCGGCGUGCUUAACACAUGCAAGUCGAACGAGGACCCUUGAAGGAGUUUCGGACAACGGAUAGGAAUCCUUAGUGGCGGACGGGUGAGUAACGCGUGAGGGAACCUGCCUUGGAGAGGGGAUAACACAGUGAAAAUUGUGCUAAUACCGCAUGAAGCAGUUGAGUCGCAUGGCUCUGACUGCCAAAGAUUUAUCGCUCUGAGAUGGCCUCGCGUCUGAUUAGCUGGUUGCGGGGUAACGGCCACCAAGGCGACGAUCAGUAGCCGGACUGAGAGGUUGGCCGGCCACAUUGGGACUGAGACACGGCCCAGACUCCUACGGGAGGCAGCAGUGGGGAAUAUUGGGCAAUGGGCGCAAGCCCUGACCCAGCAACGCCGCGUGAAGGAAGUAAGGCUUUCGGGUUAGUAAACUUCUUUUAUGAGGGACGAAGGAAGUGACGGUACCUCAUGAAUAAGCUCCGGCUAACUACGUGCCAGCCGCGGC
rnacentral:rRNA from 1 species